CUGGGCGUAAGGGUGUGUAGGCGGUUGUUUAAGUUUGGUGUGAAAUCUCCCGGCUCAACUGGGAGGGUGCGCCGAAUACUGAAUGACUCGAGUGUGGGAGAGGUGAGUGGAAUUCCUGGUGUAGCGGUGAAAUGCGUAGAUAUCAGGAGGAACACCGGUGGUGUAGACGGCUCACUGGACCAUAACUGACGCUGAGACACGAAAGCGUGGGUAGCAAACAGGAUUAGAUACCCUGGUAGUCCACGCCCUAAACGAUGCAUAUUUGGUGUGGGCAGUUCAUUCUGUCCGUGCCGGAGCUAACGCGUUAAAUAUGCCGCCUGGGGAGUACAGUCGCAAGGCUGAAACUCAAAGGAAUUGACGGGGGCCCGCACAAGCGGUGGAGCAUGUGGUUCAAUUCGACGCAACGCGAAGAACCUUACCUGGGCUCGAACGGCUGAUCAACGGCGGCGGAAACGUCGCUACCCCGCAAGGGGGUUCAGUCGAGGUGCUGCAUGGCUGUCGUCAGCUCGUGUCGUGAGAUGUUGGGUUAAGUCCCGCAACGAGCGCAACCCUUGUCCUGUGUUGCCAUCAUUCAGUUGGGAACUCGCAGGAGACCGCCAGGGAUAACCUGGAGGAAGGUGGGGAUGACGUC
rnacentral:rRNA from 1 species